UAGGGAAUCUUCGGCAAUGGGGGGAACCCUGACCGAGCAACGCCGCGUGAGUGAAGAAGGUUUUCGGAUCGUAAAGCUCUGUUGUUAAGGAAGAACGAGUGUGAGAAUGGAAAGUUCAUACUGUGACGGUACUUAACCAGAAAGCCACGGCUAACUACGUGCCAGCAGCCGCGGUAAUACGUAGGUGGCAAGCGUUGUCCGGAUUUAUUGGGCGUAAAGCGAGCGCAGGCGGUUAGAAAAGUCUGAAGUGAAAGGCAGUGGCUCAACCAUUGUAGGCUUUGGAAACUGUUUAACUUGAGUGCAGAAGGGGAGAGUGGAAUUCCAUGUGUAGCGGUGAAAUGCGUAGAUAUAUGGAGGAACACCGGUGGCGAAAGCGGCUCUCUGGUCUGUAACUGACGCUGAGGCUCGAAAGCGUGGGGAGCGAACAGG
rnacentral:rRNA from 1 species